rnacentral:rRNA from 1 species
GUUGAAACUCAAAGGAAUUGACGGGGACCCCGCACAUGCGGUGGAUGAUGAGGUUUAAUUCGAUGCAACGCGAAAAACCUUACCCACCUUUGACAUGGCAGGAAGUUUCCAGAGAUGGAUUCGUGCUCGAAAGAGAACCUGCACACAGGUGCUGCAUGGCUGUCAUCAGCUCGUGUCGUGAGAUGUUGGGUUAAGUCCCGCAACGAGCGCAACCCUUGUCAUUAGUUGCUACAUUCAGUUGAGCACUCUAAUGAGACCGCCGGUGACAAACCGGAGGAAGGUGGGGAUGACGUCAAGUCCUCAUGGCCCUUAUAGGUGGGGCUACACACGUCAUACAAUGGCUGGUACAGAGGGUUGCCAACCCGCGAGGGGGAGCUGAUCCCAUAAAACCAGUCGUAGUCCGGAUCGCAGUCUGCAACUCGACUGCGUGAAGUCGGAAUCGCAAGUAAUCGCGGAUCAGCAUGCCGCGGUGAAUACGUUCCCGGGUCUUGUACACACCGCCCGUCACACCAUGGGAGCGGGUCUCGCCAGAAGUAGGUAGCCUAACCGCAAGGAGGGCGCUUACCACGGCGGGGUUCGUGACUGGGGUGAAGUCGUAACAAGG